GAUGAAAGAAAGGACAGAACAUGAGAGGCAGCUAUAUGAUGCGGCAGCUGGUGGUCUGCGGCGUCCGUGGAGAGCGGCAUGGAAGCGUGGAUAUAGGCGGCCUGGCGAGGCGCGCGGCGAAGGUGAACAGACGGAGGGGCAGCAGGACGGCGACGAGAGGAGACCGCGGCAAAGUGCUCGGGGACGAAGAGAGGACUGUGCUGGUGCUGGAGGGGAAGUAGCUCGACGCCGAGAAGAGACCACGGAGGGGAUUAAGAGGCAGCGGGAAGGCACCCUAUCUCGUCCCACGGCGAGACCAUAGCUACGGGUGCGAAACACAGCAAAGCGGCGGGCAGAGUUGAGAGCUCUGCCCAUCCGGGUUAGCACCGGAGCGAAGAGGCGGACAAGGAAGGCCGAGGAAGCUGACGUUUUUCCCCCGUUGGCACUUUAGUGGAUUUUAAUGUUGUGGCUGAGGCCAUUGGACUUCUAGUGUAUUGUUUUCAUGUUUUUAACUUUGUUCUCCCUGGCCAGGGGUGUUUUAAUUGCGUGUAAGUCUUUUUGUUAAAUAAAUUAUCUUUUAAUACUUUACCGUUAUAAUCUAUUGCAUUGGUUCCCUGUACCUGCUCUGUCAGUUUUUUUUUUUGUUUUUUGAAGGGCUCCCCUUAGCGUAACACCUGGUGUCCACAAGUCAGAGACGCAGACGGUACAAGAUCAAUUACUUGUGUGGUGAAGAAGAUAACGGCAUAGUAGCAGUCUUUUCGGUGAAAAUACUCAUACUUCGGUGAAUUCCGAAGGUUGUGAGUACUUCACCUUAAGUCCCAGUCAGUGCAUGUGCACUAGCAUAGCGUGCUAAUUGCCGCUAACAAGGAACCCCAUUAGCUUCCACAACAGUGAUUGCUAGUCUUCCUGGGGC
ensembl:lncRNA